AUUGAAUUUAAUUCAGGAUUAAAUAUUAUAUUGUAUAAUUUAAUUUAUAUUUUAUAUUUUAAUCUAAAAUUAAUAGGGAUAAGCUUAUUAAUUAAUUUAUAGCUUUAAUUUUUUAAGAUUUGUAGGAUUAAAAAUUUCCAUCAUUUAUUUUUUUAUAAUUAAUUUUAAUUUAUAUUUUAUUUUAUUUAGGUUUAAAUUUUUAUUAAAAAUAGUUAUUUAAUAAAAAAUAACUGUUAUAAUGAUAAAAUUAGUAAAUUUGUAACUAAUAUAUAGUAAUUCGGCAAAAUUAUCCUUCACCUGUUUAACAAAAACAUGUUCUAAUGUAUUUUAUUAGAUUUAACCUGCUCAAUGAUAUUUAAAUAGCCGCAGUAUUUUGACUGUGCGAAGGUAGCAUAAUCAUUUGUCUUUUAAUUGGGGGCUUGUAUGAAAGGUUGAAUGAGGGGAUAACUUUCUUUAUAUUAAAUAUUGAAUUUAAUAUUUAAGUUAAAAAGCUUAAAUUUUUAAAAGGGACGAGAAGACCCUAUAGAAUUUUAUAUUUUUUUAAAUUAUUAUUUGGUUAAUUUUUAAAUAAAUAAUAUUUUGUUGGGGUGAUAGUAAGAUUUAUUUAACUCUUAAAUUUAUUUUAUUGUUGAUUGGCAUAUUUAUGAUCCUAUUUUAUGGAUAAUUAGAC
rnacentral:rRNA from 1 species